AAAUUCCGUAAAACUUCGAAUAAUCGAAUUGUCUGUUGGUAUUUGCUUUUGAAGAUACUUAUAUUACCAAACGGAGAACUUAUUAGGGCCAUUAAUUUCUAGUUAUAUGGGAGAAAAUAAGUCGCGACUUACAUAAGACGCAAAAACCCUUGUAUAAAUGGUCUAAUUCUAGUAAGUCGUGACUAAUUGUGGACCAGUCUCAACCCUAAUUGUUCUUAUGUAAGUCGCAAUUAACUAAAAUUUGAAGUGAAUUUGACCAUUUAUACGAGUGUGUUCGCG